ACGUAGGGUGCAAGCGUUAAUCGGAAUUACUGGGCGUAAAGCGUGCGCAGGCGGCUAUGCAAGACAGGUGUGAAAUCCCCGGGCUCAACCUGGGAACUGCACUUGUGACUGCAUGGCUAGAGUUUGUCAGAGGGGGGUGGAAUUCCACGUGUAGCAGUGAAAUGCGUAGAGAUGUGGAGGAACACCGAUGGCGAAGGCAGCCCCCUGGGACCUGACUGACGCUCAUGCACGAAAGCGUGGGGAGCAAACAGGAUUAGAUACCCUGGUAGUCCACGCCCUAAACGAUGUCGACUAGUUGUCGGGGAUUCACUUCUUCGGUAACGCAGCUAACGCGUGAAGUCGACCGCCUGGGGAGUACGGUCGCAAGAUUA
rnacentral:rRNA from 1 species